GACGAACGCUGGCGGCGUGCCUAAUACAUGCAAGUAGAACGCUGAAGGAGGAGCUUGCUUCUCUGGAUGAGUUGCGAACGGGUGAGUAACGCGUAGGUAACCUGCCUGGUAGCGGGGGAUAACUAUUGGAAACGAUAGCUAAUACCGCAUAAGAGUAGAUGUUGCAUGACAUUUGCUUAAAAGGUGCAAUUGCAUCACUACCAGAUGGACCUGCGUUGUAUUAGCUGGUUGGUGGGGUAACGGCUCACCAAGGCGACGAUACAUAGCCGACCUGAGAGGGUGAUCGGCCACACUGGGACUGAGACACGGCCCAGACUCCUACGGGAGGCAGCAGUAGGGAAUCUUCGGCAAUGGACGGAAGUCUGACCGAGCAACGCCGCGUGAGUGAAGAAGGUUUUCGGAUCGUAAAGCUCUGUUGUAAGAGAAGAACGAGUGUGAGAGUGGAAAGUUCACACUGUGACGGUAUCUUACCAGAAAGGGACGGCUAACUACGUG
rnacentral:rRNA from 1 species